rnacentral:rRNA from 1 species
UACGAAGGGGGGCUAGCGUUGCUCGGAAUUACUGGGCGUAAAGGGCGCGUAGGCGGAUGUUUAAGUCGGGGGUGAAAGCCCGGGGCUCAACCUCGGAAUUGCCUUCGAUACUGGACAUCUUGAGUACGGGAGAGGUAAGUGGAACUCCGAGUGUAGAGGUGAAAUUCGUAGAUAUUCGGAAGAACACCAGUGGCGAAGGCGACUCACUGGCCCGUUACUGACGCUGAGGCGCGAAAGCGUGGGGAGCAAACAGG